rnacentral:ncRNA from 2 species
UGCUUAUCUAGAGUGGAGGAGGGACUGGCCCAAUGAACCCCGACAACCCGCAUGAUUGCAUGCACGGUGUCAAUUCCAGAAACACUGAAGGGUGUUUGAAGAUGAGAA